CCUACGGGAGGCUGCAGUGGGGAAUAUUGCGCAAUGGGCGAAAGCCUGACGCAGCGACGCCGCGUGAGGGAUGAAGGUCUUCGGAUCGUAAACCUCUGUCAGCAGGGAAGAAAGGUCACUGUGCUAAUCAGCAGUGAAUUGACGGUACCUGCAAAGGAAGCACCGGCUAACUCCGGGCCAGCAGCCGCGGUAAUACGGAGGGUGCGAGCGUUAAUCGGAAUUACUGGGCGUAAGGGGCGCGUAGGCGGUAUGUCAAGUCAAGGGUGAAAUCCCCGCGCUCAACGUGGGAACUGCCUUUGAAACUGGGGAACUGGAGUGUGUGAGAGGCUAGCGGAAUUCCAGGUGUAGGAGUGAAAUGCGUAGAUAUCAGGAGGAACAUCAGUGGCGAAGGCGACUAUCUGACACAUAACUGACGCUGAGGAGCGAAAGCGUGGGGAGCAAACAGGAUUAGAUACCCUGGUAGUC
rnacentral:rRNA from 1 species